GACGAACGCUGGCGGCGUGCCUAAUACAUGCAAGUCGAACGCAGUGGGGACGGGUGAGUAACACGUGGUUAACCUCCCCAUCAGAGGGGAUAACACUUGGAAACAGGUGCUAAACCGAUACUGAUGGAUGGACCCGCGGUUCAUUAGCUAGUUGGUGAGGUAACGGCUCACCCAGGCGACGAUGCAUAGCCGACCUGGGAGAGUGAUCGGCUACACGGGGACUGAGACACGGACCAUACUCCUACGGGAGGCAGCAGUAGGGAAUCUUCGGCAAUGGACGAAAGUCUGACCGAGCAACGCGGAGUGAGAGAAGAAGGUUUUCGGAUCGUAAAACUCUGUUGUUAGUGAAGCGGUAUCUAACCAGAAAGCCACGGCUAACUACGUGCCAGCAGCCGCGGUAAUUC
rnacentral:rRNA from 1 species